AACGAACGCUGGCGGCGUGCCUAACACAUGCAAGUCGAGUGAGAAAGCCCGCAAGGGUGAGUAAAGCGGCGCACGGGUGCGUAACACGUGGGUAAUCUGCCCUGAAGUCCGGAAUAACUCGCCGAAAGGCGUGCUAAUGCCGGAUAAGACCACGGGAACCUCGGUUCCUGCGGGAAAAGGUGGCCUCUGUACACAAGCUAUCACUUCAGGAUGAGCCCGCGGCCCAUCAGCUAGUUGGCGGGGUAAUGGCCCACCAAGGCUACGACGGGUAGCUGGUCUAAGAGGACGAUCAGCCACACUGGAACUGAGACACGGUCCAGACUCCUACGGGAGGCAGCAGUGGGGAAUCUUGCGCAAUGGGCGAAAGCCUGACGCAGCAACGCCGCGUGUGUGAUGAAGGUCUUCGGAUCGUAAAGCACUGUCGGGAGGGACGAAUAGGGCGCCGGCUAACAUCCGGCGCUGAUGACGGUACCUCCAAAGGAAGCACCGGCUAACUCUGUGCCAGCCGCCGCAGUAAAAC
rnacentral:rRNA from 1 species